AUGUAUUUCUGUGUAACAUAACAACUCAAACGAUUUUUUUUCUUCAAAAUUUUAACAUUAAUUACCCUGCUGCAUUAACUUCGGUUGGAACUCGUCAAUAAAAGUGUUUGCUCUGUAGUUGAAUGAGUCUACGUUUUGACACUGGAAUAUUCUUUCAAUCCUUGCUUUUUACACGUCAUAUAUAUAUAUAUAUAUAUGUGAAUUCUAAAUUCUUGUCCUGCCUGUUUAAUUUGACUGGUAAACUUGGCUGCAAGCUCCGGUCUUGAUUUUUCAUCAUGCACUUCCAAAAAAUUUGUUUUGCCUUUUCUUCCUUUCGCUUUACCGUCCACAAACCACCGACUGAAGUUCAUGCGAAACAUGUGACGUGCCAAAUAAAUUAAUUGAAAGAAGGAUCCAAUAACAGAAAAUAACAAUUAAAAAUGUUGAAGGGCCAAUGCAAAUUCACUUGUUUUAAAUGGCAGGUUCUUCCAGUGCUGAAUCUUUACAGUUUAGCUUUUCUUGUGAGGGUUGUUUCCAGUAUCGAUGCUGGUUCUUUCCUUUUACUCUUGUUAUCGUUUCUUUUUUCAUCUUGGCAUUUGGCAUCAGAGAAGUACAUACGCAGUCAUGAAAGUGCGUCAAUGGUGGAGCUCAUUCGAGGAUAAUGGCAUAGAAUGGGAAGAAAACAACACCAACCCGAAAUUAAUCGUGCAAAAAGAUUGAAAAACUACAACUUAACCCCAAGGGCUUUAUUUUUAAGGAAUAGCAGCACUCCCUUCACAUCGCACAGCACAAA